CAAGAUGAGAUUUCCCAAUUAGUAAGACCCCUGAAAGACGAUCAGGUUGAUAGGUUCGAGGUGGAAGCGCAGCAAUGUGUGGAGCUGACGAAUACUAAUCGGUCGAGGGCUUAUCCUA
rnacentral:rRNA from 1 species